CACUGUAGCUCGCUCUCUGCAACUCUAACAUGGUUCCCCAGUGAAGCUAAGCAGGGCUGCGCCCGAUCAACACCUGGAUGGGAGACCCCAGGAGAAGGGUAGGUUGCUGCUGAAA
rnacentral:rRNA from 1 species